UCGGGAAUUUUGGGCAAUGGGGGAAAGCCUGACCCAGCAACGCCGCGUGAAGGAUGAAGUAUUUCGGUAUGUAAACUUCGAAAGAAUAGGAAGAAUAAAUGACGGUACUAUUUAUAAGGUCCGGCUAACUACGUGCCAGCAGCCGCGGUAAUACGUAGGGACCAAGCGUUGUUCGGAUUUACUGGGCGUAAAGGGCGCGUAGGCGGCAAUUCAAGUCAUCUGUGAAAUCUCCGGGCUUAACUCGGAACGGUCAGAUGAUACUGCUUUGCUAGAGUGCAGAAGGGGCAAUCGGAAUUCUUGGUGUAGCGGUGAAAUGCGUAGAUAUCAAGAGGAACACCUGAGGUGAAGACGGGUUGCUGGGCUGACACUGACGCUGAGGCGCGAAAGCUAGGGUAGCAAACGGGAUUAGAUACCCCCGUAGUCCCUGAGCGGGCUGGCAAGGCGCAU
rnacentral:rRNA from 1 species